AUUGAACGCUGGCGGCAGGCCUAACACAUGCAAGUCGAGCGGUAACACAGGGAGCUUGCUCCCGGGUGACGAGCGGCGGACGGGUGAGUAAUGUCUGGGAAACUGCCUGAUGGAGGGGGAUAACUACUGGAAACGGUAGCUAAUACCGCAUAACGUCGCAAGACCAAAGAGGGGGACCUUCGGGCCUCUUGCCAUCAGAUGUGCCCAGAUGGGAUUAGCUAGUAGGUGGGGUAACGGCUCACCUAGGCGACGAUCCCUAGCUGGUCUGAGAGGAUGACCAGCCACACUGGAACUGAGACACGGUCCAGACUCCUACGGGAGGCAGCAGUGGGGAAUAUUGCACAAUGGGCGCAAGCCUGAUGCAGCCAUGCCGCGUGUAUGAAGAAGGCCUUCGGGUUGUAAAGUACUUUCAGCGGGGAGGAAGGUGUUGAGGUUAAUAACCUCAGCAAUUGACGUUACCCGCAGAAGAAGCACCGGCUAACUCCGUGCCAGCAGCCGCUGUAACAC
rnacentral:rRNA from 1 species